UACGUAGGGUGCAAGCGUUGUCCGGAAUUAUUGGGCGUAAAGAGCUCGUAGGCGGUUUGUCGCGUCUGCUGUGAAAUCCCGGGGCUCAACCCCGGGCCUGCAGUGGAUACGGGCUGGCUAGAGGCAGGCAGGGGAGAACGGAAUUCCUGGUGUAGCGGUGAAAUGCGCAGAUAUCGGGAGGAACACCGGUGGCGAAGGCGGUUCUCUGGGCCUGUACUGACGCUGAGGAGCGAAAGCGUGGGGAGCGAACAGG
rnacentral:rRNA from 1 species